rnacentral:misc_RNA from 1 species
CCGGACCUUCAAGAGAUUCAUCGGAUGAGGCGGAAGCAUUUUUGGUGCGCAUCGGGACAAUCUAGCGCCGAAGGAACGCGGCGUCUUGUUCGCAUCUGCAAUAGCUGUUCAUGUCCUGUUGUGCCGGUAUGUGCGAAAAGCCUUUGAACCGGCUGGCUUAUAGCCGACAAUAUGCCCAAAUCCUCCUCCAGACGUGUCUGAGGAUCGAUACCCGGAAGUCAAUG